rnacentral:rRNA from 1 species
AUGGCGGAUGCACCUCCGUACAAGCAGCGCCGCAGGUACACCAGGGAGCUCCACGACGUCGACCUCCACGGCAACCACAAGCUCCACGUCGUUUGCACAAGCAAGGGUCAAGACGUGGACAAGAUGCUGUCCACGCUCAGGAGGAAGCUCGGCAGAAUGCCCGUCAAACUAGUCGGAGUUGAUAUCGAGUACACGCACUACGUGAAGCCACAGUGGGAAGCAGUGCUCUAG